AAACGUGAGGGUGAGCUGGCUGUGACAUCUGUCAUCACAUUGAUCGCCAGGGUUGAUCUGGCUGAUCUGGCUGGCUAGGCUGGUGUCUGCUUCCUCCCUCACAGCUCCAUAUGUCCCUCCCAAAGCUGAGCACCUUCGGAAGGUAGAAGAGGACCUUCCCCGAACAGAGGAGGAUUGAUCUUCGGUCAAGGGUAUAUAAGUAGCUGCGCUCCCCUGCUAGAACUCCCUCAAGAAAAUGUACCACAGGCUGUAGAAGGAAUCUCUUGUAUAGUGUAUGGCUACUUCACCUGUCAAUAAAAUCCUAUGGCUUAUA
rnacentral:snRNA from 1 species